CUGCUGCCUUCCGUAGGAGUCUGGGCCGUGUCUCAGUCCCAAUGUGGCCGUUCAACCUCUCAGUCCGGCUACCGAUCGUCGGCUUGGUGAGCCGUUACCUCACCAACUACCUAAUCGGACGCGAGCCCAUCUUCGAGCGAUAAAAUCUUUGAUACCAGCAGGAUGUCCUCCCGGUAUGUUAUGCGGUAUUAGCGACCGUUUCCAGCCGUUAUUCCCCUCUCGAAGGCAGGUUGCUCACGUGUUACUCACCCGUCCG
rnacentral:rRNA from 1 species